AUUGCCUUAGUAACGGCGAGUGAAGCGGCAAUAGCUCAAAUUUGAAAGCUGGCCCCUUUGGGGUCCGCAUUGUAAUUUGUAGAGGAUGAUUCGGCGAGGGCUCCCGUCUAAGUCCCCUGGAACGGGGCGUCAUAGAGGGUGAGAAUCCCGUAUGUGAUGGGUUGCCUUAUCCAUGUGAAUCUCCUUCGACGAGUCGAGUUGUUUGGGAAUGCAGCUCUAAAUGGGAGGUAAAUUUCUUCUAAAGCUAAAUACCGGCCAGAGACCGAUAGCGCACAAGUAGAGUGAUCGAAAGAUGAAAAGCACUUUGGAAAGAGAGUUAAAAAGUACGUGAAAUUGUUGAAAGGGAAGCGCUUGCAGCCAGACUUGUCCGCAGUUGCUCAGCCGGUCUCCUGACCGGCGUACUCUUCUGCGGCCAGGCCAGCAUCAGUUCGGGCGGUCGGAUAAAGGCCCCGGGAAUGUAGCUCCUCUCGGGGAGUGUUAUAGCCCGGGGUGGAAUGCGGCCAGCCUGGACUGAAGAUCUCGCUUCGGCUAGGAUGCUGGCGUAAUGGCUGUAAGCGGCCCGUCUUGAAACACGGACCAAGGAGUCUAACAUCUAUGCGAGUGUUUGGGUGUCAAACCCAUACGCGUAAUGAAAGUGAACGGA
rnacentral:rRNA from 1 species